AGACUUCCAAGCUUUGGGUGUCA
rnacentral:siRNA from 1 species